ACCACCACAAUACACGAUUUACGUGAUUCACUGCGUAGGGAAACAUCUACGGUCUCGGGAAUUAGAAAUCUACUAUUACAAUGAAUAUUAUAGUUUUUUGUUGCAAGAGAUAUACUUCUCUUUAGAUAUCGGUAAAAGACCAUCAUCAAUCUUCCCUUCUAAACUCGCUCUCCCCACCGAACAACACCGUCGAUCAAUACCUUCUUUUCCACCGCAAUACCGCUACCAAAAAAAUUAUAUCUAGAGCAACUGAGAGAUUUUCUCUCUCUAGAAGUGAAACUUUAACCAACCCAAAACUCAAAAGAAUACCGCCUCUCUCUCGGAGGCCAUGUCGCUAUCUUGGAGACCAAUAUCCAUCUUUGGAGAUCCAUUCUCAUAACCCUAAAAAAGGUGACCGCCAACAGGAUGAGUCUUACGUUUGCCUUGAUCCACUUUUAUAGAUAUCACUUGAGCUUCUUUCUUGCUCCCCAAGAAACCCAUUCUUCUUAUCCCGUAAUACCCUUAACCUUUUAGAAUAAAAUAUGGAUUGGUGAUUUAGCUACCACUAAACCCAACAAUCUCCACCGUGAUAGCAAAAUCACCAUAAUUUCCUUGACAGUGUUCAUUGAAAAGAUUUAUUCUCACUUGCAUUCAUUGUAGAAUUUUCACAAAUAUUUUGCCUCCAUAUUUCUUUACCUCAAGCUAUGGAUCCAUCAUACAUCAUUCUCUUAAUGUAAGUCUUAACCCCGUACAUACCUUACACGUUGCAUUGUGGGUUUCUAGGGAACCCCUAGCUUGUGAAGCCGAGAAUCUCAAAUUCUAUUAUCCAACCCAAGAUCAUGUACAUGAUUGGCUAAAUGUGAAGUAAAAUAAUACAACUAUAAAUUGAGUACGAAAAAUAAAUCAAAUAUAAAAAGGCACCACUACAACACAACAUUUACGUGGUUUACCCCGUAGGGCUACAUCCACAGUCUCGAUAAUUACAAAUCCACUAUCACAAUGAAGAUUACAGUUUUGGAUUACAAAAGAUAUACCUCUCUCUAAACAUCCGUAAAAGACCAUCGUCGAUCUUCCCUUCUAAACUCGCUCUCCCGACGAAGCAACAUCGUCGAUCAAUACUUUCUUUCUCACCGUAAUACCGCUACUAGAAAGAUAACUUCGAAAACGACCGAGAAACUUUUUCUUUCUAAAAGUUAAACUUUAACCAACUUAAAACUCACGAGAAUACCGCCUCUCCCUCGAAGGCUAUGUCUCUCUCUCUAAGAGACCAAUUUGCAUAUUUAGAGAUUUAUUCCCAAAACCCCCAAAGGUGAC
rnacentral:lncRNA from 1 species